rnacentral:rRNA from 1 species
GACGAACGCUGGCGGCGUGCUUAACACAUGCAAGUCGAACGGUAAGGCCCUUCGGGGCACACGAGUGGCGAACAGGUGAGUAAAACGUGGGUGAUCUGCCCUGCACUUCGGGAUAAGCCUGGGAAAAUGGGUCUAAUACCGGAUAGGACCCUGGGCUGCAUGUCCUGGGGUGGCACGCUUUUGCGGUUUGGGAUGGGACCGCGGCCUAUCAGCUUGUUGGUGGGGUGGUGGCCGACCAUGGCGACGACGGGCAGCCGGUCUGAGAGGAUGAUCAGCCACAAUAGAACUGAGACACGGUCCAGACUUCUACGGAAGGCAGCAGUAGGGAAUUUUCCACAAUGGGGGCAACCCUGAUGGAGCAACGCCGCGUGCAGGAUGAAUGCCUUAGGGUUGUAAACUGCUUUUAUUUGUGAUGAUUUUGACAGUAACAAAUGAAUAAGGAUCGGCUAACUCCGUGCCAGCAGCCGCCGUAA